AUCAACUUUCGAUGGUAGGAUAGAGGCCUACYAUGGUGGUAACGGGUAACGGGGUGUUAGGGCACGACACCGGAGAGGGAGCCUGAGAAACRGCUACCACAUCCAAGGAUGGCAGCAGGCGCGCAAAUUACCCAAUCCCGACACGGGGAGGUAGUGACAAUAAAUAACAAUACGGGGUUCUUUMGGAUYUCGUAAUUGGAAUGAGUACAAUUUAAAUCUCUUAACGAGGAACAAUUGGAGGGCAAGUCUGGUGCCAGCAGCCGCGGUAAUUCCAGCUCCAAUAGCGUAUAUUAAAGUUGUUGCAGUUAAAAAGCUCGUAGUUGAAUUUCGGGGUUAGUAAGUUGGUCGUGCCUUYGGUAUGUACUGRCUUUACUGAUUCCUCCUUCUUGUAGAACCUUAAUGCCAUUAAUUUGGUGUUGUGGGGAAACAGGACUGUUACUUUGAAAAAAUUAGAGUGUUUAAAGCAAGCUAACGCUUGAAUACAUUAGCAUGGAAUAAUGAAAUAGGACGAUUGAUCCUAUUUUGUUGGUUUCUAGGAUUGACGUAAUGAUUAAUAGGGAUAGUUGGGGGCAUUAGUAUUCAAUUGUCAGAGGUGAAAUUCUUGGAUUUAUUGAAGACUAACUACUGCGAAAGCAUUUGCCAAGGAUGUUUUCAUUAAUCAAGAACGAAAGUUAGGGGAUCGAAGACGAUCAGAUACCGUCGWAGUCUUAACCAUAAACUAUGCCGACUAGGGAU
rnacentral:sRNA from 1 species